UCUGCCAUAGGAGGGAAUCAUCAAGGAGAAGCCUUGUGUUUUCAUCAUGAGGCCUCAUUAAACACGAUAAGGUUGGAAUGUAGCCAGAUUUUUCCCCAUGGUUGGCCUUGGAAAUCAGUUUCUAACUCAGGGGGCAUCAAAUGAGGUGGCUCUAAGGCGGCUGGUGGGAAGAGUUUGUGCUGCUGAGGAAGAUGAAUUAGAAGAUCCACUCUUUGUUAGUACUGUGAGCAGACCACAUCUGGGUUCCUGUAAUGGAAGGAACAAAUACUGAGGCUUCCAGAAUGCUAAGUACCUUUUCGGUAAAAGGGGAUCUGCUUGAAAGUUGGACCUGGGUGGAGCCCUUUAUUGUGAGAAAUAUGAUCGACCUUCCUGGACAUGUUGAGACGUCAGUCAUUCCUAUACCUUGAGAUGUUGACGGCACCAAGUGGGUGCUCAAUAUAGGUGAAUUAAAUGGAUAAACGAGUGAAUUAAACAAAUAAUAAAAUGCAGGGUAACUCCUUUCAUUUCCUCAGUAAGGAGCUCUAUGUCUCAUCUCAUUCAUUUAUUAAUUCAUUUGCCAUACAGUGUUUGAGAACUUACGAUGUUCUAGGUUUUUU
rnacentral:lncRNA from 1 species